GCAUCCGUAGCUCAGCUGGAUAGAGUACUCGGCUACGAACCGAGCGGUCGGAUUUCAUGGUCUGCGAAAUCGUCGCAAGCACCAGGGAGGAUAACGUUGCUUCAGCAACGGCCCGUAGGGCGAGGCGCAGCCGAGUAAUCCUCCCGGAUGCACCA
rnacentral:tRNA from 1 species